rnacentral:rRNA from 1 species
GACGAACGCUGGCGGCGUGCCUAACACAUGCAAGUCGAACGGAAAGGUCCGGAUUUUGUGCGGUGCUCGAGUGGCGAACGGGUGAGUAGCACGUGAGUAACCUGUCCCUGACUUUGGGGGAACUUCAGGAAAAAGGGGCUAUUAUCGGGUAGGAUCUCUUGCUGCAUGGUGGGGGUUGGAAAGAUUCGGUGGUUGGGGAUGGACUCGCGGCUUAUCAGCCUGUUGGUGGGGUAGUGGCGUACCAAGGUUUGGAUGGGUAGCCGGCCUGAGAGGGUGACCGGCCACACGGGAACUGAGGCACAGUCGAGACUCCUACGGGAGGCAGCAGUAGGGAAUCGUACGCGAGGGGCGAAAGCCUGACAGAGCAACGGGGCGUGAAGGAUGAAGGUCCUCGGAUCGGAAAACGCUGUUAGGAGUGAAGAACAAAUGUGUUAUUAACUAGGCAGGUCUUGACGGUACCGAAUCAGAAAGCCCCGGCUAACUACGUG